GGAAAUGUGCCCGAAAAAGGGAUUACUUUGAUAGAGUAACACACAGGGGUUAAAAUCCCCUCAUCUCC
rnacentral:tRNA from 1 species